rnacentral:rRNA from 1 species
UACGUAGGGGGCGAGCGUUGUCCGAAGUUACUGGGCGUAAAGCGCGUGUAGGCGGCUCUUCAAGUCGAGUGUGAAAGCUCCAGGCUUAACCUGGGAAUUGCGCUCGAUACUGUUGAGCUAGAGUGUGGAAGGGGCUACUGGAAUUCCGUGUGUAGCGGUGAAAUGCGUAGAUAUACGGAGGAACACCUGCGGCGAAGGCGGGUAGCUGGCCAACACUGACGCUGAGACGCGAAAGCUAGGGGAGCAAACGGG